rnacentral:misc_RNA from 1 species
AAACCGUUUUACUAUUAUGUUCAAAGUCUAAAAUCAAAAUGGAUGUAAGAAACAUGAGAAAAUAUGAUACACUUUUAUAGUAAUAAAAAGCCCAUGAGCUAGUUCUUUUCAUAAAAUAAAAAAUAAUCACAUAAUGAUAAACGAAGAUUAAUAAUAAAAUUAAAAAUUAAUUUACCUCAGUCUUCAGUUCUAUUCAAAUCAAUCUAUCACCCCCACAAGCCAUCCCCUGCACGUGCCAAAAAAGCACAUCACACGUGCCAAUAACUCCACCAAAAGUCCAAACUUUGAUUGAAAACGAAAAAAAAAAUAAUAAUAAUA